rnacentral:tRNA from 1 species
GGGGUUGUAGCUCAGUGGUAGAGCACUUGCCCUGAAAGUGUGAGGCACUGGGUUCAAUACUCAGCACCA